rnacentral:tRNA from 1 species
GGAGUUGUGCCUGAAUUAAAGGACCACUUUGAUAGAGUGAACUAUAAGGGUUAAAGUCCCUUCAACUCCU